rnacentral:lncRNA from 1 species
GUAUGCGGUGGUAUAGUUGUUUUUUUCGAUUAUUCUUGCUUUGAUAUUGUAUCAAAUAAACUAAUUGUCCAACUCAUAAUUAUAGACGUACAAAUGUGGAUUUGUGAUAAAGUUUGAUGACAAUACUGUUUUUUUUUUAUUCUUAUUCAUAGUGGAGUCUGCAUGUGUCAAAAAGAGGCCUAUAUCAACUUUUAUGUUUUUGCGUAUGGAUUUUAAAUAUAUAUUAUUUUAUAUAAUGCAUACUUGCUCUACAACAUUUGCUUGUAGACUAAAAAAAAACUGUUUUCUAUAUUUUUAAAAGA